AGGAUGAUCCGCCACACUGGGACUGAGACACUGCCCAGACUCCUACGGGAGGCUGCAGUCGAGAAUCAUUGUCAAUGCACGAAAGUGUGAACAUGCGACGCCGCGUGGAGGAAGACGGCCUUUGGGUUGUAAACUCCUGUCAGCAGGGAGUAAGGAUAAAUCACUUAAUACGUGUUUUAUUUGAUAGUACCUGCAGAGGAAGUCACGGCUAACUCUGUGCCAGCAGCCGCGGUAAUACAGAGGUGGCGAACGUUGUUCGGAUUUACUGGGCGUAAAGGGUCCGCAGGCGGUCUUGUGUGUCAGAUGUGAAAGCCCACAGCUUAACUGUGGAAUUGCAUUUGAAACUGCAGGACUAGAGUACUGGAGGGGAGAAGGGAACACUUGGUGUAGCGGUGAAAUGCGUAGAUAUCAAGUGGAACACCGGCGGCGAAGGCGCUUCUCUGGACAGAUACUGACGCUCAUGGACGAAAGUUAGGGUAGCGAAAGGGAUUAGAUACCCCUGUAGUCCUAACCGUAAACGGUGUGCACUAGGCGUGGGAGGCUUUACCCCCUUCCGUGCCUGAGCUAACGCAUUAAGUGCACCGCCUGGGGAGUACGGUCGCAAGAUUAAAACUCAAAGGAAUUGACGGGGACCCGCACAAGCGGUGGAGCAUGCGGCUUAAUUCGAUGCAACGCGAAGAACCUUACCUGGGCUUGACAUAACACUGCAUACGAUCCGAAAGGAACAUAGCCUUCGAGGGUGUGUUACAGGUGCUGCAUGGCUGUCGUCAGCUCGUGCCGUGAGGUGUUGGGUUAAGUCCCGCAACGAGCGCAACCCCUGUGUUUAGUUGCCAGCACGUAAUGGUGGGAACUCUAAACAGACUGCUUGUGAAAACAAGAGGAAGGUGGGGAUGACGUCAAGUCAGUAUGGUCCUUAUGUCCAGGGCUGCACGCGUGCUACAAUGGGAUGUACAAUGGGAGGCUAAGCCGCGAGGUGGAGCAAAUCCUCAAAACAUCCCCCAGUUCGGAUUGGAGUCUGAAACUCGACUCCAUGAAGUUGGAAUCGCUAGUAAAGGUAUAUCAGCUACGAUACCUUGAAUACGUUCCCGGGUCUUGUACACACCGCCCGUCACAUCAUGGAAGUCUGUUGCAACCGAAGUUGUUGAUCCAACCUCUCACGAGGAGGAAGGCACCUAAGGUGUGAUAGGUAACUGGGAUGAAGUCGUAACAAGGUA
rnacentral:rRNA from 1 species